rnacentral:lncRNA from 1 species
CAGAGACAGGUACUAGCGAUUCCACUGGGCGCUAUAGGCAGGGCGCACUCACCGAACUCCCCAAUCCCUUCCAGCCUCAGAGCCCGCCUGGCAGGACUACUGAGCAAGGCCUUGGAAAAUCGGAGCGAUUAGAGCGAAGUGCUUCGGUCAGGCAGUAUCUUUGAAAAUAAUUUGGCCAAUGAAAGCCCUGGCAUUGGAUGAAAGUGCUAGCUGCUGGGAAUGCUACCCCUCCUUUUGGUUCUCUUUCAAGUCCUUCAGGUUCAAACAAUACAGAAGUGUAUAAAGUAAGAAUUGAAAGUCUCUUCGCUGCUCUAAUCUCACUCCUCAGAGGUGAUCACUGUGUGGAAGAUGAUCAAAGUAUGACAUUUCUUCUACCCCAGAGGCUGGCAUUUCUGCAGGCACAAAUGAGCUUGGUUUUCAAGCACUGCUCUUUGAACACAAGGAAUUCCUUUAAUGAUCACGCCGGACUAUAUAGACUUUGGAAUCAGACUCUUUGAAUUCCAGCUCUGCCAUUUACCAACUUUGACACUUUGGACAACGUCUCAUUCUGUCACCCAGGCUGGAGUGCAGUGGCACAAUUAUAGCUCACUGCAGCCUCAAACACCUGGGCUCAAGCAAUCCUUCCACCUCUGCCUCCUGAGUAAUUGGGACUACAGGCAUGUGCCACCACACCCAGCUAAUUUUUAAUUUUUAAUUUUUUUGUAGAGAUGGCGGUCUUGCUAUGUCACCCAGGCUGGUCUUGAACACCUGGCCUCAAGUGAUCCUCCGGCCUUGGUCUCUCAAAGCUCUGGGAUUACAGACAUGAGCCACUGCACCCGGCUCUAUCUCCCCUUCCUAUGUGUGUUAGCUCUAGAACAAGAGAAGCCUUGUUGAGAUUCCUGGCUGCCCACCCCCCAUCACCUCUCUGACUUUGGGCAAGUUGCCUGGCCUCUCUCAGCCUUUAUUUUCUUUUUGUGAAAUGGGGAUAAUAAUAGUACUUGCCUCAUAGGCAAAAUGUUGUGAGAACUAAACGAGAAAAUGCAUGUAAAGCACUUGGCACUUAGUUCUUUUUAUGAUUAUAAUGAUAAUCAGACACAAUAAAUUAUGUCUCACA